CGGGUGAGUAACACGUGGAUAACCUACCUAUAAGACUUGGAUAACUUCGGGAAACCGGAGCUAAUACCGGAUAAUAUAUUGAACCGCAUGGUUCAAUAGUGAAAGACGGUUUUGCUGUCACUUAUAGAUGGAUCCGCGCCGCAUUAGCUAGUUGGUAAGGUAACGGCUUACCAAGGCAACGAUGCGUAGCCGACCUGAGAUGGUGAUCGGCCACACUGGAACUGAGACACGGUCCAG
rnacentral:rRNA from 1 species